rnacentral:lncRNA from 1 species
GCGCGCGCUCCCCUGGCCGUCUCCCACCGGAUCAGGUGUCUCCUCUGCGCAGACUCCUCCACGACGCCAGUCGGCGCUGGCGUAGCUCGGCUCAGCCCGGCGGAGUCUGACUUCCGGAGGGCCAGCGGCGCGCUGGCUGGUUACCAAGGUUACCGCCGAGAGGCCGCGUCCUCAGCUGGUCCUAGACAUGCGUGGCGUCGGGGCUGUGGCACGGUCGGGUCCGGGGUCCUGGUUCCCAUUUGUAAUUGGCACCCUAAUGAAACCGUUUUCUGUAGCCCUGGAAAUGGCUGAAAAUGAGGGGAGGGAAAUAAAGUGCUAUAAUUCAGAGCAUGGAGCACACCUUCCUGGUUCACCUGAGCUGGAUUCGGAGAGGUAAAAUGGCCAUUACCUCGUCUAAGCUGCCACUUACAGACACAGUACAGGAUGAGGCCCAGACCCACAGAGACAACGAUGAUGGCCACAGCUAAGAUGAUCCAGAAAUUAUUCCUCCACCAGCUCAUUGCAGUGGAAUCCUGAGAAGAAUGGAGAGAGAAGAAUGAGCAGUCGUACCAGGGCCCCAGGCUGCAAUCCCCUGGCCCAGUGCUGAUCGGUGGCUCCCAGGGACACGCCCUGAUGCCAGCGCUGGCAGAUGUCUGCUGUGAAGAGAGCAGGAAACUGUCCCUUGGAAAGCUGAGAUGCUUACCUGAACUGUGAAAGUAUCCAUAUGUGAGCAGCUAAGGAGACAGCAGUGGCUGGAGUGCUGCAGCUCAGGCACAGCUGGUGAGAGGCAUUCCUCACUCACAGGCCUUCACCCACUGCUAGAGACAGUGAGCCCCAUCCUGACCACUUCCCCUUUCUAGUCAGCCCACGGGGCAGAGACCCUGGCGUCAUCUCUAGGCAACCAUCCCUUUUCCAGGGAAGCUCAUGACCCACGGCUGUCCAGAAGCCAGAAUCUUCUCACUGCCCCGUGUCGCUCCCGCAAGGCCUACCAGAGGACCCUCAUGGUGUGGUAGGGGGUCCUGGCAGGGGCCAGGGGCCAGGGUGGAGACUUGGCAGUGGGGGUGGGUUUGGUGUCCCCACAGACGAGUUUGCCGUGAGCAUUCCUGGAUGUGGCAACCUCAGUCUCAAGAAGAGCGACAGGACGCCAGCUCCCAUGCAGAGACAGAUCCAGGUAAGAAACCAGCUCAUGUGUGACAAACUCACCAUCUCACCAUGAAGGUGACUCUUGAAAGCUCCUGUGCACCUUGGAACUGCUGAGACAUCUUCUGCUUGGAGGAGGCAAGGGACAGGCUUCCUGUUUCUAAAGGCGUGUGAGUGGCGACCUUGAGAAAUGUGGCCAGUGGAGCAUUUUGACUGAGUUGGGUCCCCUCGUGCAAUACUGUGAGACAGAACUCCCAGCGAGGCCCACGGCCUCUGACCAUGGGGGUUGGAGUGGGGAAACCAAUUAGCCAUUUUGUUGAAUUGGCUGGUUCUGACUCAAAUGAGCAGUCACAUUAGUAAAAAUAGGCAAACGGAUGUGCAUUGUAUUUGCCCAGAGCGAAUGAGUUGUUAUCCAUUUCAGUAAUAAUGAUAACCAGAUAUGUCUGAUAAAUAUCUGAUAAUGUCUGAUAUAUGUCUGGUAAAUUUAACAAACACCGGGCUCUGGCUGGGUGCGGUGGCUCACACCUGUAAUCCCAGCACUUUGGGAGGCCAAGGCGGGUGGAUCACCUGAAGUCAGUAGUUCGAGA